GGCAAAUGAAAACAGGACUAGGCUGAGGGAUAAGGUGAACUCCAAUGCCUUAGCAACAUUGGCCUCAAUUCAUUCCAUGGAAAUCUGAAGCUAAUAAACCUCUUCAAAGAUGUCUGAAGUGUGGAAAGAAGGCUGAAAUGUUUUAUCUCUGUAUGAAACUUUCAUUCUCUAUAUUGCACGCAGCAACCCUCGAAGAGAUGAUACAUCAUAGGACAAAGUUGCUGCUUUCACCGGAUGGCAAUUCCAAAGUAGAGACUAAAUUGUGAGCAGUCAGCCGGCAACAUCUCCACCAGCUGGGGAACUGAAGGUGUCGAUCCAAAGCAGGAAUGUGGGUGGCACUUCACCACCGCCACAGCUGGAGGCUGUGAUGAGCGCCAUCAGAGGAAGAACCAUCUCUGAGAUGGAGACUGUGGUGAAUGGUUCAACCAGAGCAUAUCUUGGGGAGCUGCUUUUACAAAACCAGGGUCUUCUGGAUUUUGCAGUUCUCUGCUUCAUUAGGACCAGGAACUUGUCUGAGCCCAGAGAGAGCCUGAGUGGUGACGUUCAAAGGGAGAAGAUAAGCCUGGACUUCUUGGAAAGGAUGUUAGAGGAAGACAAGAAUCAUAUUGAAUUUAUGGCCCAGGCAAAUUGCAUAUGACCUCAUCUUAACUUGAUGACAUCUACAAAGACUCCAUUUCCAGCUCACGGUGAAGGAACCCUGAGAGGACAGAGCUAUGUGAUGGAAUGAGCCAGGAUCCCUGAGUCCUCACCUAGAGAAGAGAUGUGCAGAAGAGCCACUCAACAGAUGGUGGUGUGCUGAUAAACAUUUAGUGACCCAUUUGGGGUAUGGGGAAAGGCUCUAGUCAGUAACAUUUGUUCAUUUCUGUUAUGUAUACUCCCAGUAUGGCUGCGUUUAGACAACCAAGGUGAUGUCACUGAACACAGUUUGGAAUGGAUGCACAUAAUCAGUUCUUAUGAUGCUGGAUGAACCAACCCCAGCACACCACUGCCCCCAACCCACAUGUAACUGUGUCAUAAUUUUAAUUUAAAAAUAAACAUAUUUGGUUAAGCCUUUGAGAUUCAUUGGGGAUUGUUUGUUAUAGCAACUAGAUAGUGUUAACCUAGCUAAUAUAAUCCAGUACUUAGAAAAUUAUGAGAAACCGCUGGGCGUGGUGGCUCACGCCUAUAAUCCCAGCACUUUGGGAGGCCAAGGUGGGUGGAUCACAAAGUCAAGAGAUCGAGACCAUCCUGGUCAACAAGGUGAAAUCCCGUCUCUACUAAAAAUACAAAAAUUAGCUGGGCAUGGUGGUGCGCACCUGUAGUCCCAGCUACUCAGGAGGCUGAGGCAGGAGAAUUGCUUGAACCCAGGAGGCGGAGGUUGAGGUGAGCCGAGAUCGUGCCAUUGCACUCCAGUCUGGGUAACAACAGCGAAACUCUGUCUCAAAAAAAAAAAAAUUAUGAGAAACAAUCUACUUCAUUUUAGUGUAGCUGUUACAUCAAAAUUUGACAAUAUAAUAGAAGAAAGAAAACAUAAGCAGUCCUUUGUAAACACGAACAAUAAAUAAUUGUCUUACAUCAGCUUUAAAGUUCUUAAACAAAACCCAAUUAGUCAAACAAGCAGCAAGCAAACAUUUGUGUGCAAGUUAAAUUUAUUGCGAAGAUGCAAGAAUGAUUUAGAGAUAGAAGCUUCAUUGAUAAUUUAUCACAGUAGGUUCAAGGAGAAAAAGUACAUUAGCGUUAUAAUAGGUCCUGAAAAAGCAUUGAAAACAACAAUAAAAACUCUAUUAAGUGAAUGUUUCUAUAAUAUGAGAAAGAAUACAGAUACUAAACAGCCAAUGUCAUAUUUCAUUCUAAAACAUGAGAAUUCAGGAACAAGAGGAGAAUGGCC
rnacentral:lncRNA from 1 species